AUUUCAGCAGCUCAAGGUGACCUAAUUAGCUGUGAAUUAUUCACUUUACACCAGGGAUAAGCUGCUUUGACACUUGGAUAAGGUUUCCGAACCACAUGAAGCUUAUUUGGUGACCUGGGAGGCUGGUUUAGAAAGUGUUCUACUUUGAGCGAGAGGGCAUUUGACCCUUGGACCGACUUUGGUUGGCAGUGGAGGGCCUUUUGGAAGCAUAAUUUGAGCAGCAGUGGGGCUUCGUUGAGCCGAAUUUGGGACUUCCUUUGGACUGUUUGGAGCUUAGAAAUAGAGCCAUCUACAGGAAAG